rnacentral:lncRNA from 1 species
UAUGAAUUGGGAAAUAAUACCUUAAAAAGACUUGAAAAAGUCUGGAAUUUUGAUAUCUGGGUCUUGAAAUUUGUGCAGUAACUUCAGGUAUCACAUUUACCUCUCUAAAGUUUCCAUUUGUCAACCACUAUUAUUUUGAUUAAAUAACGUAAUAGCCUAAAUAAACAGUGGCGGAACCAAUAAUUGAGAACGCAACGCCGCCCGGAUCCGAACACUUCACUUUGCGACAGACUGACCUAAACUUCUCUCUCAACGUCCUCUCGUCAACGUCGACUGGGAUGCACAUCGCAUGUAGACCCACUUCAUGCUGAGGUUAUGGGGAAAUGUAAAUUUAAUGAAGCGUGGCAAGAUAAACAAGCAUUUUGUCACUGGUUAAAACCGGUGGACAACAACGUAUUUGAGGCUUUUUGUACAGUAUGCAAAAAAAAGAUUCAGCUUGGUAACAUGGGUGUGAAGGCUUUGGAGUCUCAUGCCAAGUCAUGUAAGCACAUCAACUCUAUCAAAGCUAAGGAGAAAACACUUUCCAUCGACGGAGUGUUUCAACCUGCUAACCUUAGCCAGCUAACUGUUAAUGCGCUUGAAGCAGAAGAUAACGUUAACCAACCAGCUGCUUGCGCUAGCACAGCCCCUCCAGUUACGACCGCAACUAACGGUAGAGUGGAUCUGCGCACAACUUUUGGAUUCACACCUACAAUGAAAGCAGAGGUGUUGUGGACUCUUAACACCAUCGCCAAACAUCAGUCCUACAAUGGAAAUGAGGGUAUUUCAGAGCUUUUCAAAAGCAUGUUCCCUGAUUCCGACAUCGCUACCACGUUUACUUGUGGGUCCGACAAAACGGCAUACAUAGCCAAGUUUGGUUUAGCGGUUCACAUCAAAGAGGAAUUGGUGUCCGAAGUAAACAAAUCGCCGUUCGUUCUUAUGUUUGACGAGAGCCUCAACGAGACAACAAAAAACAAACAGCUGGAUGUGCAUGUUCGCUUCUGGGACGAGGGACAGGUUCAGUCCAGAUACCUGGGCUCCCAGUUUAUGGGACAUUCCACUGCACAAGACCUGCUGUCACAUCUCAAAGAAUGUAUGGACAAACUGGACCUCAGACACUUGGUGUCCAUUUCAAUGGAUGGGCCCAGUGUGAACUGGAAACUCUUCGACAUUUUCCAGAAAGAUCAAUCUGAGCAGUACGGAGGUGAGGAGUUUAUAAUGCCAUUACUGUGUGUGUGAGUAUGUAUAUGACCCAUUUGUAAUUAUAAAAAUUAAUUUUAUUUGUUGUGCACUUUUACAUUGAAUAAACUAUUUAAACGUGCUACA